UACGUAGGGUGCGAGCGUUGUCCGGAAUUAUUGGGCGUAAAGGGCUCGUAGGCGGUCUGUCGCGUCGGGAGUGAAAACUCAGGGCUUAACCCUGAGCCUGCUUCCGAUACGGGCAGACUAGAGGUAUGCAGGGGAGAACGGAAUUCCUGGUGUAGCGGUGAAAUGCGCAGAUAUCAGGAGGAACACCGGUGGCGAAGGCGGUUCUCUGGGCAUUACCUGACGCUGAGGAGUGAAAGUGUGGGGAGCGAACAGG
rnacentral:rRNA from 1 species